AUUUCAUCGGCUCCCAGUGAUGUUUUAUAGACCAUGGACUGAUAUGCCCAGGCCCCUGCUGCUCCAGCAAGCAACUGCAAACAGCUCUAGAAAUGCUGUAACCCUGCUGUCCUGACUGGCCCCCAGUGAAUGAGCAGGAUGAGUUGGUGAUGGCUCCAAACUUUGCCAUUGAGUGUUCAGAUCUGCACUUUAGGGAGUUUGAAUAGACACAACAGCAUCUGUUGGCAGCAUCUCAAAGCACCUAUAAGACAGUUGGGGAAGAACAUCUGGAAGACAGUUAAGGAACAGCAAGUGAGAAGCAGAGAGAAGCGAAUAGGUGGAAGCCACAGUUGGCAGAAGCCCUAAGGAAGAAGUUCAUUUUCACCGUAUAUUACACCAUGAUGAAGGGAUUUUCAUUUCACAAAGGUUUGAAUAAUGACUAAGGUCUAAGCUCACAUAUCCCCAGGAUGAAGAAUUAAGUUUAAUCCAUAGAGUUGCCCAAACCUUGUGGAAUGUCAUUUCCUGCAUCCCCUUGUUCACAUCCUGGUGGUAGAUUUGUUUUACACAGUGUAACCUAAUACAGUAGGAGGCUGAAACUCAUCAGUAAUCUCUGCUUUUGUGUGGCAAGAAUGGUGCAGUAUGGAGGCACC
rnacentral:lncRNA from 1 species